rnacentral:rRNA from 1 species
AAACGACUCUCGGCAACGGAUAUCUCGGCUCACGCAUCGAUGAAGAACGUAGCAAAAUGCGAUACUUGGUGUGAAUUGCAGAAUCCCGUGAACCAUCGAGUUUUUGAACGCAAGUUGCGCCCAAAGCCAUCCGGCUAAGGGCACGCCUGCCUGGGCGUCAC